rnacentral:rRNA from 1 species
UACGUAGGGUGCGAGCGUUGUCCGGAAUUAUUGGGCGUAAAGGGCGCGUAGGCGGUUUGUCGCGUCGGGAGUGAAAUCCACUGGCUUAACUGGUGGCUUGCUUUCGAUACGGGCAGACUGGAGGUAUGAAGGGGAGAGCGGAAUUCCUGGUGUAGCGGUGAAAUGCGCAGAUAUCAGGAGGAACACCGGUGGCGAAGGCGGUUCUCUGGGCAUGUCCUGACGCUGAGGAGCGAAAGUGUGGGGAGCGAACAGG